GCCAGACUCCUACGGGAGGCAGCAGUGGGGAAUAUUGCACAAUGGGGGAAACCCCGAUGCAGCGACGCCGCGUGGGUGAAGAAGUCAUUCGUGACGUAAAGCCCUAUCAGCAGGGAAGAAAAUGACGGUACCUGACUAAGAAGCCCCGGCUAACUACGUGCCAGCAGCCGCGGUAAUACGUAGGGGGCAAGCGUUAUCCGGAUUUACUGGGUGUAAAGGGAGCGUAGACGGCGGCGCAAGUCCGGAGUGAAAGCCCACGGCCCAACCGUGGGACUGCUCUGGAAACUGUGCGGCUUGAGUGCGGGAGGGGCAGGCGGAAUUCCUAGUGUAGCGGUGAAAUGCGUAGAUAUUAGGAGGAACACCGGUGGCGAAGGCGGCCUGCUGGACUGUGACUGACGUUGAGGCCCGAAGGCGUGGGGAGCAAACAGGAUUAGAUACCCCGGUAAA
rnacentral:rRNA from 1 species